rnacentral:rRNA from 1 species
GACGAACGCUGGCGGCGUGCCUAAUACAUGCAAGUAGAACGCUGAAGGAGGAGCUUGCUUCUCUGGAUGAGUUGCGAACGGGUGAGUAACGCGUAGGUAACCUGCCUGGUAGCGGGGGAUAACUAUUGGAAACGGUAGCUAAUACCGCAUAAGAGUAGAUGUUACAUGACAUUUGCUUAAAAGGUGCAAUUGCAUCACUACCAGAUGGACCUGCGUUGUAUUAGCUAGUUGGUGAGGUAACGGCUCACCAAGGCGACGAUACAUAGCCGACCUGAGAGGGUGAUCGGCCACACUGGGACUGAGACACGGCCCAGACUCCUACGGGAGGCAGCAGUAGGGAAUCUUCGGCAAUGGACGGAAGUCUGACCGAGCAACGCCGCGUGAGUGAAGAAGGUUUUCGGAUCGUAAAGCUCUGUUAUAAGAGAAGAACGAGUGUGAGAGUGGAAAGUUCACACUGUGACGG